AAGUCCUGCAUUCAAACUCUUAAGUAAAAGUAAGUUUAUAUUUUGUAUUAGUAAUGUUAAUCUGCAAAGUAACUAGUAACUAAUGUUGUCGAAUAAAUGUAGUGCAGUAAAAAAGUGCAAUAUUUGCUUUGAAAUUGUAGUGGAGUCGAAGUAUAAAGUAGCAUAAAAUGGAAAUGCUCAAGUAAAGUACAAGUACGGCAACAAGUCCAAGUACUUCAGUACAGUACUUGAGUAAAUGUACUUAGUUACAUUCCACCACUGGGCUUUGUGGCCAGUUUGCCAGUAGUCUGUUGACAUUUUAGUAAAUAAGUUAAACAACUAGGAGGCUGACGUGAACAAUGUUUAUCCCGCCUAAUUAACAUAAUAUCAUAUUUACAGUUUGAAUGUGAGUGAACACGAGAUAAGCUAACGUUUAGCAUGUAAUGUUCUUUUGUGUCUACAGGAGGAAGCUCCUUGCUUACAAUAAAGUUUAAUUAAAGCUUCUAAUGCACCAACUUUACAAAAUGGCACGAUGAGCACUGAGCUGGAAACACGCUGCCGUCCCAUGUAACGAGGGUCGUCCUCCAGCGGGAAGACAUGAGACGCUUCCAUGAUGUGAAACGAUGACGUUAAAGUGAAAUCCAUCUCAAACCUGCAGAUCUCCACCGGCUAUAAAAUAAAAACGCCUUUUGAACCCUG